rnacentral:lncRNA from 1 species
CUGGCUGGGUCAGGCCUGGUUUUGCUUUCUGACUGACUCAGGUCUGAGUCACUGAUCAAGAGGAGGAAGUCCUAAUCAUGGGUGCAGCCCUUUCAAGCAUUGUGGUGUGUGCAAACCUAGGGAGAAAAGAAGGAGGAAACAAUCCCUUGAGAGGCCUGAACAAAAGCACCUGGCUGUGCUAGUGAACAGAGAGUGCUGCUUGCAGAGAGGGAGGAGCCCGAGGGAGUUUCAGUGGUCCGGGAGACAAUGGCAUCAGGGACCUCUGCUGCUGCCUACAGAUUCACAUGCAGUAUUGGCAAUCUCAGGUCGGCUGUCGGUUUCACAAAAGACAGAAUUAUUCACCUAUAUCUGUAAUUACUUCAAGUCAUUUCCAAGAAUACAGCAAGAAGAUCAUGUAUGUGGAUGUGCGUACAAGUGUUGACAAAACGUGGAUGAUGAGGGGAAGAGGACUACGUUGUAGUAUAGUUUUAUGUUGGUCUGGUAGAUCACAUUAUUACAGACACAAUGAGUGAGAGGAAAGAGCUCCCUUAUCCCCUUACCAGGAUCUCUUUGCUUUUUUCAUAAAAGAAAAAGAAAAUACACUCUUUCAGCCCUAUGGCUUAUAUGCUAUAUGAGGCCAUUUGGGAUUUAUAGUUUGGCUAUUAAGGAGGGAAACGAGUUAUUGAGUGCCAAAUCACUGUUUUAUCUGGCUGUUAUUAUUAUGUUACCAAGCAGUAAGGAAGGGCUUUUGUAUAAUGAGAAAAAAUUACUAGCAAUUAAAUGAUGUUCUUUGUUCUUUUUUUCAGUUCAAAUGCAAUAGGUAAUUGUUUAACUGUUACAUCCAAAUUGUGGAGGCCAUUGGUGAUCAUUAAUAAAUAAACUGUAUGUGCAAUUGCAUACUGAAGAAGCCAGCUCAGUCAACACUUUUUUGAUCAGAUAAAAAAUACAGCAAACAAUCUUAAACAUAUUGGGCUCAAUUACUAUUGCCUUGCCCUGCUGUAGACAUUGCUCUUCAACCCCUUGGGUAGAAUACAGUCAUAGUUGAAAGAAAAGUCAGAUUAACUGAAACUUUUCCUGUUCAUGAACAUUAUUCAUAGAAGAAUAGACCAUUUCCUUUUGAGAGGUGAAGGGCUUUUGUGGUGCUUAUUGAAAGAUGCAGGGAGUUUGCCAUAGCUAUAUUGGUGCAAUUUUUUUUCAACUAAUAGGUCAAAUAGUCAUCUUAGUCAGUUAUACUUCACAUGGGUUAUCUCAUUUGAUAUUCAUUUAUCUCCAUUUGCAGAUGAGGUAACUAAGCUUGGGGGAUUAAGUGACUUGGAAAAAUUUAUAUAUCUAGGAAAUGGUGGAGCUGGGAAGUAACUUCAGAAAGAUCGCUCCUGACUAUUAUAUUGUAUCACCUCAUCCCAGGCUCAGGCAUGGGAGAAGGCCCAGAGUUGUGUUUUAAAACU